rnacentral:rRNA from 1 species
AUUGAACGCUGGCGGCAGGCCUAACACAUGCAAGUCGAGCGAGCGGCGGACGGGUGAGUAAUGUCUGGGAAACUGCCUGAUGGAGGGGGAUAACUACUGGAAACGGUAGCUAAUACCGCAUAACAUCAGAUGUGCCCAGAUGGGCUUAGCUAGUAGGUGGGGUAACGGGUCACCUAGGCGACGAUCCCUAGCUGGUCUGAGAGGAUGACCCGCCACACGGGAACGUAGACCCGGUCCAGAGUACUACAGAAGGCAGCAGUGGGGAAUAGUGCACAAUGGGCGCAAGCCAGAUGCAGCCGUGCCGAGAGUGUGAAGAAGGCAGUCGGGUUGUAAAGCACUUUCAGCGGGGAGGCGUUACCCGCAGAAGAAGCACCGGCUAACUCCGUGCCAGCAGCCGCGGUAAUUC